rnacentral:lncRNA from 1 species
AUGACCUUGCGAUCUUGUCGGUACUUGGGGAUUGGAGCAGAGGUGAGACGGGGUAGAGAGGUUGUCCAGUUGCCAUCUAUCUCAUGGCCAGAUGUGCCUGGACCAGUACCUCCAUUCUUCCAGGUGCUGAGGACAUCUGUGCCAAUGAACUGUGCAAAGGAGGACAGAACCGAGCCCACCCAGCACAACAAGACCACACACAGGGCUCUUCUCCGGGUCACCACUGCAGAGUACCUGCCAGACACAGACACAGAUAUUGAAAAGCUGAAAACGUGCCUGGAGAGCGAACCGGUCAGGCCAGACAUCACUUCCCCACUGAGAAUGUGAGCGCCGUGCAAACGCAGAACAACAUGCAGCACGCCGGGUGACAACACACUGUUAACACUCAUCGCUCUUCUGGCUUUCUCGCCUCUCCCCUUGCUGUGACCCACCAUGUGUUAUUCACUUAGACCCGCUCAGACACAAAUAGGCCCAGGCAUACGCCAGCACACUCUCACCGGUGAUUUGCAGCAUUCAGAAAUGAUUGGCAGCUAAUUUUAGAGCAUUUUCAAACAAUAGGUCCACAUCAAGCAGGGUGGAUGAUUAUUGAAAUAACAGCCACCGUAUGGCACCCGUCCAUUCCGUGUAAUUAGUUUGACCUUUUGGAAACAUUUAGCGUUAGUCGUCACUUAAAAAUCCCGACUGGCUGAAAUAACCUCUACAACACUUCACGCAGUACUUUACACAGUUGUCUCCGCACUCACUACUCGAACGGCCUCGGCUAAAUUGAUUCACUAAAGUAAUUAACGGAGUUAAAUCCACCUUGUGAGAGUUUUCAAUUCAAAUUGUUGGUCAGACACACAAAGUGUCCUUAAUUUCCUUAAUGAAUCAAUCAGUCUUGUUGAAGGAAAGAGGUCAAACCUUUCAGGAAUGUCACAGCCAGUUAGAAGGAGCUGAAAAGGUAGGAAAUCAGAGAAAAAGACACACCGUUACCUGUUGCGAGACCUCGUGACGACAGAUUAUACAAAGCUCUGCUUUCGCCUUUGUGGCUGGACUUUCUCCUUUUCUUUUAACGUAUUCCCCCUCAGGAUCUUUGUCGCUCCCUCUCACCCUUACCCCGCUGACAGAAUAAACCUCAUUCAUAAACCUCUGCUUAUCAACCCGCCUUCUGUCUCUCUCCUGUCUCGGCAAACAUAUCAAUUGUGUCAAUGUUGGAGCACGGCUGCCCUUUCUAUCUAAGAUGUGCAAAGGGCAACAUCACCUCUGCCAUCCAGAGAAAUAUGCUAAUGCUGGAGCAUAGACACACAGAGAAACACGGCUUAACACACACACACACACACACACAAAUACAUCUCUCUUAAAUGACUGGUGUGCUUUUUCCAAAUUCGUCCAAUUUUAGCAGGAUGGAGGAAAUAAGAUACAGCUCUUAACUUAAUGGGGUUUUUGAUGGAGUAUGUAUCCAUUCCGUGUGAUUAAUGAACAGAGAUAUGAAAGACUGUCGGGUUUAAAGGCUCCGUCUAAACCAGGGGUGUCAAACUCAUUUUAGCUCAGGGGCCACAUUGAGGGAAAUCUAGUCCCAAGUGGGCCGGACCGGUAAAUUUAAAAAAAACUUCAGAUUGUUUUCUUUGUUUUAAUACAAUCAAUAUAAAACAAGGUUGGAGCCUGAGGACAGUGUAGUACAAGUACAACACCUGAAGUGUACUUGAAAAUUUGAAAAGAAAAAAAAAAUAAAUCAACAAAUAAAAAAAACAUUCCUUAGUGAUUCAAAGAGCUUACAGAUCACAUGGCAAGAUCAGUUUCAUGCAGCACUUAAAGUAUAUUUGACUCAUUUUACUUUACAUCUUUUAGCUUUCACCAGCACAUCAACAUCAGAAGUCACAUCCUGAGUGGCGGCCAACUUCAGGAUGUGAUUCAAGUUCUUGUGUGAGCCUUGAGCGCAGCUUUGUUUUAUUUAUACUCAUUACAGAGAAAACUUGCUCACAANAAAAAAAACAUUCCUUAGUGAUUCAAAGAGCUUACAGAUCACAUGGCAAGAUCAGUUUCAUGCAGCACUUAAAGUAUAUUUGACUCACUUUACAUCUUUUAGCUUUCACCAGCACAUCAACAUCAGAAGUCACAUCCUGAGUGGCGGCCAACUUCAGGAUGUGAUUCAAGUUCUUGUGUGAGCCUUGAGCGCAGCUUUGUUUUAUUUAUACUCAUUACAGAGAAAACUUGCUCACAAUGAUACAUUUAUUUUCACUCUACAUUGUAAAGUAUGAAAAUAAAGGUUACACAACCAACUCGUGGGCCGGAUUUAACCCGCUUGCGGACCGGAUCCGGCCCGCGGGCCGCAUAAUUGACACCCCUGGUCUAAACGUUCGAAUUCCUCGAACAUUUUAUUAAUACGAGACCAGUACGCAGAAACUUGUCUAGCCUUGAUAAACAGUACAUUUUCCUUUAUGCUGUGAUUUUAGACUGCAACUGGAGAAUAAUACCAAACUUUAAUGACCACAAAGCGCGACGCUGCCGCGAUUUUUCUGUUCUCACAAUCGUUAUACUUUAAUCACAUGCAAACGAGCUUCACUGAACAGGAGGGUCGAGGCGUUAUUGUCUAAGAUUAUAUUCAGCCAAGUUCAUAUGUAUGCACAAAUGAUUCUCCAGCCGUCUGCCAGUGGCGUGGCCACGCUGACCUGAUUCAAGAGUGGUGCACUUUACAAAAAAAUAAAAAUAAAACGUCAACAAGAGAAAUGAAGCAAAGAAAUGAUCCAAGCCACCAAAACCAUGAUGCAUUUUAUAAUACGUGCAGAGUGUGUUUGUUUAAAAGUGCCAGCUCAGGCUGUGAGGUGAGCAGGAGGAAUAAUCCGGGUGAAAAUCUAUUAUUUGUUUCUGUGUGACUUUAUUUUAGGCAUAAAUGUGGCAACCAAAUCUGUAAUGUCUCGAUUUUAAUUCCUUUAAGGUUGGCCAGUAGCAGAUUGCAUGUAAUUGGUAUUAAAGUCUGAUAUUACAUUCAAAUUGAUUUAUUGGACUCCGCCAAGGCUGCCCUUUGUCACCGAUUCUGUUCAUAACCUUUAUGGACAGGAUUUCUAGGUGCAGCCAAGGUGUGGAGGGCAUCCAUUUUGGUGGCCUGAGGAUCAAGUCUCUGCUUUUUGAAGAUGGUGUGGUCCUGUUGGCUUCAUCAGAACGUGAUCUUGAGCUGUCGCUGGAGCAGUUCGCAGCUGAGUGUGAAGCAGCUGGGAUGAGCAUCAGCUCCACUAAAUCUGAGACCACGGUCUUGAUUCGGAAAAGGGUGGG